AGAGUUUGAUCCUGGCUCAGAACGAACGCUGGCGGCAGGCCUAACACAUGCAAGUCGAGCGCGCCUUUCGGGGUGAGCGGCGGACGGGUUAGUAACGCGUGGGAAUAUACCCUUUGGUACGGAAUAGCCUCUGGAAACGGAGAGUAAUACCGUAUGAGCCCUUCGGGGGAAAGAUUUAUCGCCAAAGGAUUAGCCCGCGUUAGAUUAGGUAGUUGGUGGGGUAAUGGCCUACCAAGCCUACGAUCUAUAGCUGGUUUUAGAGGAUGAUCAGCAACACUGGGACUGAGACACGGCCCAGACUCCUACGGGAGGCAGCAGUGGGGAAUCUUGGACAAUGGGGUGCAACCCUGAUCCAGCCAUGCCGCGUGAGUGAUGAAGGCCUUAGGGUCGUAAAGCUCUUUCCGCCUGUGAAGAUAAUGAC
rnacentral:rRNA from 1 species